CGUCACUCUCACCCAGUCACCCCCUUCCCCCAACACCCCUCUCUCAUUCGUGAAUGCCACACUCAUCUCAUCCCUUUCUAAAGCAAAGUUCACAAUACUGACAAACCAAAACCCUAGCCUCCUCCUCAACGAUUCUACUACCGCCGUGCGUGGUUGUCGGCGCCUCCGUGGGUUCCUCCUUCCCCCUUUCCCGAGCCAAAACCCAGGACCUCUAUUCUAGCGCGGCACGUCAUCCCCAUCCCUGGCUUCUCUGUUCAAGCCUUGGAGCAGCUCGCCGUCGUCUCGUCGCCAUUUCGUUUACAACCCAGAAAAAAUAAACAAAGCUUCGGUAGCGCUGAGAGCCCCUUGCCCCCUUCUCUCCUUCUCCUUGCCCCCAUCCCUGGCUCUGUUAGUUUGUUUAAUUUUGAUUCGCAUCCGCUCCUUCCUUUUAAUUUUGCCAUGAAGGUUUAGUGUUGGCUUCAACUUUCAAAUGGUAAUUGGGAGCUGGUGAAGAUAAUAACAUCUUCUGGAACUGAGUCUGUUGUUUUACUGCCUGAUGGAAAAGUAAGAUUUGAUCUAGAAUUACCAUAGUACACAGUGAUGUUUGUUCCAUCUAGCUGGACUCAGUGAGACAACUGGAAAGUGUUCUUUUAAUUUAACCUUGUUAAUCAUAUCUUGUACAAUUUUGGUUGCCAUAAAUCCCUUCAAGAAAGUUCUUCUGUAUGGUAAUGAUUAUAUUGAAGCCUACAAGCGUAAGAAUCCUGUUUUGUUU